UGAAGGAAGCUAAUAGUGGGUUCCCCUCUUGCGUGACUCUUCUUCCUACUCUUCUGUUUGCUUCACUUCGAAGCUCUUGAGCUUCACGUAUCCUGACUGUUCCUUCUCCUCGUUCAUCGAGAUAAAACAGGAAUUGGACAAUCUCCGAGGAAAUGGAAGGAUCGGCUCUACCAUGCUUAAGGUGUCAGGGGCUCAGCUCUACCCCUUUGACAGAGGAUGCCUCUACCUUCUGCACUUCCCUCACCGAGGACCUCAAGGGGCUCGAGCUGUCGCUGGCGAAGGACUCCAUCUCCCUCAGGUGGUUCGUCGAAGCGAUGAGCGUCUUGAAGAGGAUGCAGGUGAGACUCCUUGCCCUGCUGAAGAAAUCUGAGUUGCCGAUCUCGUGCGAAGCCGAAGACUGGUUUGAUCAGUACAUGCAAGAGUCUGCGUCUCUAUUAGAUUUCUGCAACUCAAUGAAGUCUGCCCUUUCCGGGAUCAACCGGUCUCGCAUGGCUUUAAAGCUCGCAGUCCAUAAACUAAGCGAAGACAACGAGUUCGGAUUGGAAAGAUUACAGAAAGCCCAUGAGGAAAUUUUAGAUUUCAGUAUAGAGAAGGAAAGAUUAGGACUAGCUAAAGGUGGAAUUUUGCUCGGAGGAAAUGGAAGAGAUGACAAGAACAUGGCAAUCGUGAUGUUUGCUGCUAAAACCACUGUGACAGUCUUGUCAUGGUUUAUGAUUUCAGCAAUGAUUUCUCCUGUUCCGGUUAAUAUGGAAGACAAGGAGCUGACUUCAUCGAUCCCUGAGCUACAGCAGUGCAUGGAGAUGCUGACACGGAUUUCGAGCCUCGGCAUCGGUCGGGAAGUUGCUCUGGUCGAGCAUGAGAUGGUGAACGAGGCAGUCGAGGAGUUACAGGCGGCGGAGAAGAACAGCCAUAGUUUCCUCAGUGGUCUGGAGAAGUUGAGAACAAGGUCAUUUGAGCUGAAGGAGGGGAUCGAGAGGCUCGGCACAGUAGUGGAUGAGGUGUUCGAGGAGGCCAUCAGAGGAAGGAAUGAGAUGCUGGACAUCUUCAGGAAUGCAACUCUUUGAUUCCUGGUGGAAACCAUGCAUUCUACUGCAAUGGAAGAGCUAGUUUUCAGUCUUCUUGUUCUAUGAUAAUGUAAACUACAGUGGAUCAGCACAGCCAUGUAUGUACAAAAAAUACAGCUUUUUUCCAUUUGUUUUGCAUUGUAAAAGAUGGCACUUUUUUCAGCGCAGCAACGGCGCCGGCGUCGGAGUGGGUGGCGGAGCUGCCGCGGCGUCAGCCAGAAAGGCCAUGUGUUUGUUGUCUGCUUCUUUUUGGUCCCACGAUAUCAGCGCCUUCAAUUUCUGCCCUUUUGUGGGCCCAACUGUGAGUUCAUGAUCCUCCAAUCAUAAGGCAGAAGAUCUUUCGAACAUCGUAUCCCUCUCCGCCGUGCGCCGACCACCGUCCACCGUCCACCGGCCACCGGGGCUGCCGCACCGAUCAGGAUAU